rnacentral:rRNA from 1 species
GAUGAACGCUGGCGGCGUGCUUAACACAUGCAAGUCGAACGGAAAGGCCGAAGCUUGCUUCGGUACUCGAGUGGCGAACGGGUGAGCAACACGUGGGUGAUCUGCCCUGUACUUCGGGAUAAGCUUGGGAAACUGGGUCUAAUACCGGAUAUGACGAUCUCUUGGAUGGGGUUGUGGAAAGCUUUUGCGGUAUGGGAUGAGCUCGCGGCCUAUCAGCUUGUUGGUGGGGUAAUGGCCUACCAAGGCGUCGACGGGUAGCCGGCCUGAGAGGGUGUACGGCCACAUUGGGACUGAGAUACGGCCCAGACUCCUACGGGAGGCAGCAAUGGGGAAUAUUGCACAAUGGGCGCAAGCCUGAUGCAGCGACGCCGCGUGGGGGAUGACGGCCUUCGGGUUGUAAACUCCUUUCGCAAUCGACGAAGCCUUUUGGUGACGGUAGGUUGAGAAGAAGCACCGGCUAACUACGUG